rnacentral:rRNA from 1 species
UGAAGCGCUGGUGAAAGAUUUAUCGCUAUCAGAGGAGCCUGCGGCCUAUCAGCUUGUUGGUGAGGUAAUGGCUCACCAAGGCAGUGACGGGUAGCUGGUCUGAGAGGAUGACCAGUCACAAGGGAACUGAGAUACGGUCCCUACUCCUACGGGAGGCAGCAGUUGGGAAUAUUGGACAAUGGGCGAAAGCCUGAUCCAGCGACGCCGCGUGGUUGAAGAAGCCCUUCGGGGUGUAAAAACCUUUUAACUGGGAUGAUUAUGACAGCACCAGUUGAAUAAGUGCCGGCUAACUACGUGCCAGAAGCCUCGGUUAAACGUAGGGCACAAGCAUUAUCCGGAAUUAUUGGGCGUAAAGCGUGACUAGGUGGUUUAUUUCAUUUCUAGUAAAAUUUCAAAGCUUAACUUUGAAUUUGCCAGAAAUAUGAAUAAACUAGAGACCAUUAGAGGUGCAUAGAAUUGCCGGUGUAGGAGUGAAAUCCGUUGAUAUCGGCAGGAAUACCAAUGGCGAAGGCAGUGCACUAGAAUGGUUCUGACACUCAAGCACGAAAGCGUGGGUAGCGAAAGGGAUUAGAUACCCCUGUAGUCCACGCCCUAAACGAUGCAGACUAAAUAUCAGGAGUAUCGACCCUCCUUGUAUUAAAGCUAACGCGUUAAGUCUGCCGCCUGGGAACUACGGUCGCAAGACUAAAACUCAAAGGAAUUGACGGGGGCUUGCACAAGCGGUGGAGCAUGUGGUUUAAUUCGACGAUAAGCGAAGAACCUUACCAGGACUUGACAUCUCAGGAACCCUGCAGAAAUGCGGGGGUGCCUUCGGGAACCUGAUGACAGGUGCUGCACGGUUGUCGUCAGCUCGUGUUGUGAAAUGUUCCGUUAAGUCGGCUAACGAGCGAAACCCUCAUUGCCAAUUGUAUUUCUUUGGCGAAACUGCCUCGAUUAACGGGGAGGAAGGUGAGGAUGACGUCAAAUCAGCGUUGCUCUUACGUCCUGGGCGACACACGUGCUACAAUGGCGAUUACAAAGGGUUGCAAGACCGCAAGGUGGAGCUAAUCCCCAAAAAUCGUCCCAGUUCGGAUUGAAGGCUGAAACUCGCCUUCAUGAAGCUGGAAUCGCUAGUAACCGUGGAUCAGCCAUGUCACGGUGAAUACGUUCUCAAGCCUUGUACACACCGCCCGUCACGCGAGCCGAGUCAGUAACACCUGAAGUCCUACCU